UACGGGGGGGGCAAGCGUUGUUCGGAAUUACUGGGCGUAAAGGGCUGGUAGGCGGCCAACUAAGUCGGAUGUGAAAUCCCUCGGCUUAACCGGGGAACUGCGUCUGAUACUGGAUGGCUUGAGUUUGGGAGAGGGACGCGGAAUUCCAGGUGUAGCGGUGAAAUGCGUAGAUAUCUGGAGGAACACCGGUGGCGAAGGCGGCGUCCUGGACCAACACUGACACUGAGGAGCGAAAGCCAGGGGAGCAAACGGG
rnacentral:rRNA from 1 species